UCAACGGUCCUUUUAAGGACCACCCACAUAAUCUGAGAGUGCAUU
rnacentral:ncRNA from 1 species